ensembl:lncRNA
UGGAGCCUGGCUCUUUGGUGGAGCUUUCCCCUGCAAACCUGGAAUCUUCUGGUACAGGUGGAUGGCCCACAGCUCUAUUUUCUUGAAGUAGCAGUGGUGUUCAGAAGUGAUCAAAUGCUGUGCCUCCUGCUGGGUGGUGAGCCAUUGGCUAGUGUUCAGGCUCAACACAGUCACAGCCUUGAAGAUAGGCAGAAGUUAGCAGAGUCCUGAAGAACUUACAGCUUUCAGACUAAGAAUGCAAGACCCUGUGAAUAAUUUGAAGCAAACAUUAAACGUGGUGGGGAUGACACACUCAGGAUACAUCUGUAUACCUGGAUAAGCUUGUGAUUACUGCUUGUAUAAGCAGAAAUCAUGAAACAUGUAUUUUCAACUAGCACAAGUGAUAUUAGCAGCAAUGCUAGCUCUAGCUUGCUGCAGAAACCAAAAUGUUUUCCUGAAUCCCAUGAAGAAUUCACUUCAUGAUCUUGCUUUUGCACAAAAUAAAGCCAAUGGUGUUGUACCUUCUGUUAUUCUUUAUUCAUAUGUUAUGUAUGAAUCAAUCACUUACUGAUUUUACUGCAUAGGUACAAUCACAGUUCGUCUAAGUGAAACAAAAAUACAGUCUGAGCUUUAAUUUCAGCUGCAAGUGAGCAAACCAUCUUUGCACCACCAUUUUCACUUGCAGAUAGUAACAUCAUGGCUGUCUUGAAAGUGUUUGAAUUCCUCCAGAUGAUUCAUAGCUCAUAUGAAAUCCAAGUGAAAUCAGACCAUGCUCUGGCCUGUGUUCUGUCUCUGGGUCUAUUUUGUUAUUUGUUUGUUCUGCCUGUUUGCAGGUGGGGGAUGAUUCAAAGCUUCUAACAAAAAGGCUAGAUGAGCAACUCUCUAAUUUCAGGAUGAAUCAUCCUUUCCUCUAGCUGUAAAACAUCUUAA